rnacentral:rRNA from 1 species
CACGUAGGGCGCAAGCGUUGUCCGGAAUUAUUGGGCGUAAAGAGCUCGUAGGCGGUCUGUUGCGUCCGCUGUGAAAACUCGGGGCUUAACCCCGAGCCUGCAGUGGAUACGGGCAGACUAGGGGUAGGUAGGGGAGAAUGGAAUUCCCGGUGUAGCGGUGAAAUGCGCAGAUAUCGGGAGGAACACCGGUGGCGAAGGCAGGUCUCUGGGCAUUAACUGACGCUGAGGAGCGAAAGCAUGGGGAGCGAACAGG